AACGAACGCUGGCGGCAGGCCUAACACAUGCCAGUCGAGCGGCCCGCAAGGGGUUGGGCCGGCGGGCGAGUAACGCCGGGGGACGUACCUCUUGGUUCCUGACAACUCCGGGGAACUGGCGCUAAUACCCGGUAAGCCCUAACGGGGAAAGGUUUAACGCCGAAAGAUCGGACCGCGUCAGAUUAGCUAGUUGGUGAGGUAAAGGCGCACCAAGGCGACGAUCAGUAUCUGGGCUGAGAGGAUGAUCAACCACACUGGGACUGAGACACGGCCCAGACUCCUACGGGAGGCAGCAGUGGGGAAUAUUGGACAAUGGGCGCAAGCCUGAUCCAGCCAUGCCGCGUGAGUGAUGAAGGCCUUAGGGUUGUAAAGCUCUUUUGUCCGGGAAGAUAAUGACUGUACCGGAAGAAUAAGCCCCGGCUAACUUCGUG
rnacentral:rRNA from 1 species